GUCAAGUAGCCAGACUAAUAAGUAAGGAUACUUCAAGGAAGACGAAAACAUAAGCAUCGGUUAACUCUGUGUCAGCAGCCGUGGUAAGACAGAGGAUGCAUGUGUUAUCCAGAAUGAUUGGGCAUAAAGCGUCUAUAGGUGGCAUUUUAAGUUCGCAAUCAAAUCCUAGGGCUCAACCCUAGAAGGCAGUGGAAACUACCAAACUGGAGUAGAGUACGGGCAGAAGGAAUUUCCAAUGGAGCGGUGAAAUGCAUAAAGAUCAGAAAGAACACCAACGACAAAAACACUUUGUUGGGCUGAUAAACCCUAAACCUUAAACACCCAAACAACCCCCCUAAACCAUAACGAACAAGAUGAUUUAUUUU
rfam:Lupinus angustifolius cultivar Tanjil chromosome LG05, whole genome shotgun sequence.